rnacentral:lncRNA from 1 species
GAAUGAUAGAUAUACAUUCACCAACUUGAGGGGGAGUGUUGCAUAAUCAGGAGAAUUAUGUUAUAAUUAAGUGCAGAUUCCAUUUUAUAUUUAUUAGGACAGAUUUGUUAGUGAUUUGAUUUUAUUUGAUUUGUACAGCUUUAAACACUCAUUAUUUCUGGCUUUCAUUGCCUAUUAUUUCUUUCUUUAAUUAGGUUGUAAAACAGUCUAUAAAUAGAGACUGUAAUCACAUUUGUAAGAUAUCUCAGAAAUAUAUUUCAUC